rnacentral:lncRNA from 1 species
CAGUUGGUGCCCUUAUGGGCCAUACAUCACCAGCACGCUUUCCUGAGAGGACCAUUGCCCCAAUCCAUCAUCCAGAACCAACUAAAAGCCAAGCAGCUGGGCUCACCUGUGAGGAGAAGACCUACCCUAAAUCUAGAUCAUCUGAGGUCAGAAGACCUACUCUAAAUCUUCUGGUGACUGCCUCCCUGCAUAAAGUAUAUGAAAAGAAGGACGCUUUUGCCUUUUGCCUUCUUGUCCUGCUCUUGCUGACAGGGUUUCUCUGUGUAGCCCUAGCUGUUCUGGUCUACAGAGAUCUGCCUGCCUCCUGAGUUCUGGAAUUGAAGGCAUGUGCUACCACUUCCCAGCAG